UCUGAACUGUGAAGACUUGCAAGUAUGUAGGAGUUCUGGUCUGAUGACAACAAGUGACUGAAGAAGAGCAACUGAAGAGGUGAUGGCAACUCCAGUGGAAAUGUGUCCGCCCUUCAGAGGUGAAAUAUUUAUUGAUGGAAGGAAGGAAAACAAAGACUGCUAAGGAGAAGCCAUGAACAUUUUCCCUCUGUGCUAUAGUGAUA
rnacentral:lncRNA from 1 species